CCGGUGGCUGCAGGCUUGGGCUGCACCGGGCGGGCGGGGAGCCGUCGGCUCCGUGUGUGCGCGCGCGGGGAGCUCGGAGCUGCGGCGGGCAUGAGGUAGGUGAGAGCCCUGAGUAUCUGAGCAAGGCAGCAUGGCAACCCGAUGUGCUGCUGCAUGGCACAGAGGCUGCGUGUGGUGCUCCGCUGAAAAUUGAGGAUAGCCCUGGUUCUGAAGCCAGACUGGGAGAGGCCAGGGAUUUUGCUGGGAUCUCGGGAUCUGCUUGGGGCAAGCCAGGAUCCAGACCUGACAGUGGAGACAGCGGUCGAGCUGAGCCAGCAGGAGGAGCCGGG
rnacentral:lncRNA from 1 species